rnacentral:lncRNA from 1 species
UUCCGUCUCUCUCAAACAAAUACGCUUAUGUUGUUUUCAAUCUCUGAACUUGGUCUGACAAAUUAUAUUCCUGCACCACGUAAAUAGAUUACAAUUCAGAAGAUCCAAGGAGGCGUUGAACAAAGGUAUUAACAAAAUUCACUAAUAGUCUUUCUCUUCUUCUCUCGUAAUUUACUUCUAUGGUUGAAUUUCUUCUCCUUCUACAUUGAUAGUCACUUUUGUGGAAGUAUUUCAGAUACAAGGGAAGUACUGAGGAUUUUCGUGAUGGAAGGUUAACAAACCAAUUGAGCAAUGAUCGAUCAGAGGUAGAUGACAAGAAUUUUGCAGAACUAGCACAAACGAUUGGUCUUUACCGUUUAGUAUAAGAUGGAAUGAACAAUCCUAACAUGUCAUAAUCAAGUAGAAUUUCGUUUUUGUGAUGGAAACAGGACUUAGAUGAUUAUAAAGAAGAUGACAACUUCAAAGCAUCUAUUGGCUCUACGGACAGCUUUAAAUCAAUAGGGAGACAAAAUUCCAUGCCUCAGAGGCCACAAAUUGUUGUUAAUUCAGCAACAAAGAACCGCCUACACAGAAGAACUAGCACAGAGUGGUCAAUAGGGUCAGCAUCCGACGGGAGUUUAGUUGAUUCAUCAAACAGCCCUGAGGAUGAAUCAGUUCAGAAGCUUAAGAGUGAAAUUUUCAACCUAAUGCGUCAGCAUGAGCUAUCAGAAAUGGAGACUCAGACACUUCGAAAACAACUGACAAAGGAGACCAAAAGAGCGCAAGAUUUAUCGAGGGAAGUUAUGGACAUCAAAGAAGAUAGAGAUGCACUUGAGAGAGAAUGUGAACAGUUGAGGUUCUCAAGGAAGAAUAUAGAAGCAGAGGCUCUGGACCGAGUACGAGCUGUGAAUGAGGGGUCGCGGGUUAAGCUGGAAGAAAUGAGGAAGGAGCUUAACCAUGAAAAGGAGUUGAAGUUCAAUCUUGAGUUGCAACUGCAGAAAACACAAGAAUCAAACUCGGAGUUGAUUCUAGCUGUGCAGGACCUUGAUGAUAUGUUGAAGGAGAAAAAUAUAGAAUCAAGUGAGGAUGAUAAACAAUUCCAGUGCCAAAACUGCAGAUGUAGUACAGAAGCCAAUGAAGGCCAUCAAGCAGAAUCUGCAAACACGAAAUUAACUGGGGAUGGAAAUGAUGCCAAUACCAAUGAAGUAAACUUGCUUAAGGAACAGAUAACUAAUCUUUCUGAUGAGAUAGAGGCCUACAGAGAAAGCAGGGAAAGGCUGGAAAAGUACAUAGAGCAACUCACACAAGAUUAUGAAGAUUUGAAACAAGAAAACCAAGGCAUCUCGUCUGGGUUAGAGCAGAAUCGGCAGGAAACACUGGAAGCAGAGGGUGAAUGCUCCAGAUAUCUGGCUGCAAUUGAAGAAUACGAAUCACAGCUGGAGAGGCUAGAACAGAAAUUAAGAGAACAGACACAAGAACAGUCAAAAGCAUUGCUCCAGAUCAAUGAACUUGAAGGUCAAGUAAAAUCAUUGGAGCAGGAACUCCAGAAUCAGGCAGAGGGAUUUCACAAACAUCUGGAUGAUAUUACUCGGGCGAAAUUUGAGGAGGAGCAAAGAGCGAUUCGUGCAGAAGAGGCCUUGAGGAAGUCAAGAUGGAAAAAUGCCAGCACAGCAGAGCGACUUCAGGACGAUUUUAGAAAGCUGUCACAAGAAAUGGCUGGUAAAAUUGACGAGAAUGAGAAGCUUAUGGUGAAUGCUGUCACGGAAUCAGAAAAGCUCCGUGAAGAGAAUCGACUCAUAGCAGAAAAGCUUAACGAAGCUAAUGAAGAGAUUGAACUAAUAAAAGACCAGACGAAAGUUAGGACGGAAGAGCUAUCAACUCAACUUGAUCUCAGGACAAAAAUGAUAGAAGAGAUUUCAUCGGAAGCAGAAGAGAAGUCAAUGCAGCUGGAAAAUUUGCAGAAGCAAGAAAAAGAAAGGCAAGAAGCUUUCACAAGGGAAAUCCAAGUGCUGAAAGCCAGAAUUGAGGAACUCACUGUAGCAGGCGCCUCCAGAUGGAUGGAAGAACAUGAAGAAAACUCUAAGGAUGAGCAGGAUCAAGCAAACGCAUCGCUUGCAAAAACAACAUUGCAAAGAAAUGAACUGGAGACAAAAUAUUCAUCAGCGAAAAAAGAAGCAGAAAAGGCGGUACAAGAGUUGGAAAAUUUGAGAUCACAGAAGGAUGAAAGGGAUAUAAUGCUCAAUACACUGCAAUUGGACAUAAUAGAGCUCAGAGAUCAACACAAGAAGUUAACGCAUAGUCUCUCAGAAGAAGAGUUGGAGAAAGAGAAACUGCAGAAGCAAAUACUUCGGUUAAAAGGGGAGCUACUGAAGAAGGAAGAUGCUGCAGAUAAAUGGUAAAGUUCUUUGACCCCUUUAAUUGUACUGUUAAAUUGGAUUUUACACGUCUUCGUAGCCCUUCUUUUUAUUCAACUCCACAAACUCAUUCUCAGCUCUUUAGCUUUUCAUGGCUGGCCUCUAAGUAAUCCGGUCAAUUAUUUUUUAUCUCCAGGGGAGUAAAGACAUGCACAGAGCAAGAACUAGACAACUGCAAUCUGACAGAAAUACUGAGCAAGAUGGCGCAACUCAAGGAAAGGAACAAACGCAUGGAAGGUGAAUUGAAAGAAAUGGAGGUGAGAUAUUCAGAUAUAAGCCUCAAGUUUGCAGAGGUAGAGGGAGAAAGGCAGCAGCUGGUUAUGACUGUACGCAACCUGAAAAACAGUAACAAGAACUAGAAAUAAUUCCUGUAAGACCACUGUUGAAAUAUUAAGUGCCUCUCCCUUAACUCAACAAGAUGAAAUGUAAUCAGCCAGGCAUCAGGGUCUUAAAUAUCAACAUAUUGAUAGAGCUUGUCGUGGAAAAAUGCAUUCAUCAAAGUUUGCUGUCUUCACAUAAUUUGGAAAUUGUUUCACUGUCGAUAUUGAAAUACGUACUUCUAAGUGCAAGAGUUGUCCCUACAGGACGCACAAUUUGAAAAUCAGUUUAUGAGAGUUUCAGUGUGUUGAGCAUGGAUUUUAGUCUUGUAAUUGAAGUGCAGCAUGAGUACAUGUAAAGGUAAACCGCUACAGAAAUCAGAUGUUCAAUUGCUGAGAACCAACCUCAACAUAGCUUUACUAUGCUUGCAACCUAUCUAGCUUGUAUUCAACAUUAUCUUCAAAGCGCAGUUCUCAGUCAAUCAGCAAGAAAUUAUAUAAAAGAGCAAAAAAAAUCAAGGACUGAAGAAGAUGAUGUAUGCUGUUUAGUGUUUACAAUGAAAUCGGCGAAAGAAAAGAAAGCUGAAAAAAGCUCUAACAGUAUUAAUCUGAAUAUCUUCUUCUCGCGAGUUCAAAAUCACUGCUCUAGAGUCAAAUCAGCAUCAUGGACGAACACAAUUGUACUAGGAAUCAUAGCACACACUGAAGCACGAUGAUUAACGCGCAUCUUGGCAUCAAAUAACAAAUCUACCUCAGAGGAAUCGCCAUCUGAUCUGAUCACUUCUGAAGACGAGCCUCCCCACCAUCUUCCCAGACUGUGAUAUUGACAUCAACGUCUUGAGGUACUGCGCCGCGAUAAACCCCGACAGAACGGAUUUGGUAGGAAGAUUUUCUGUUCUCGAAUCCGAUGAGAGACGCGAAGGAGGGAGGAGAAGAAUAGGGAGAUCAACGAUACUUGAGGUUUUGCAGGGAGAAGAAGAUAGAAGAAGAUCAGAAGUAGUGUAUAUUGAAGAAUCGAAUUCGAAUUUCUUGGCAAGCUGAAUGAAUUUCGUCGACUGCUGCC